GUGAGCCAAGAGAAGUGAAGACAGUCAUCUUUUUUUAAAACUUUUUUACAGUCUGUGCAGGAUUUACUUUAUGACAAAUUUUUUAUGACUGACUCAUACCUGCAGAACGUCCGCCCGUCUGGUCCAAUAAGCUAAUGGGGGGGGGGGGGCUACGGGGGUGCGUUCACGACCGACAGGGUUAUGAGAGAUGUGCGUUGUGCUCAGUGGUGACGCGGGGUCGUCAAUGCAGACGGGAAGGGGGAGCCAGCGGAGUCUUCCGUGGAGCCUCCGCCGGCUGCUGAGUUUCGCUCCAUGGAAGAUUUUACACUCACAGUCUUGUGACGAUACCCUACGCUCAGACUACGACCAAGAGAUAAGAAUUGAUGGUCACCUGGUGGGCCCUGACCCAGGGCAGUCAUUUCCACACUUUUCUUUAUUAGGGACAGACUGUAUAGAGUGAGCAGGUGAACGUGCGCCGCCGGUGCGCGUCCGGCCCGGAGUGUCAGUUAGUGAAAGCUCUGGCCAUUCCGAGGGCGCCGUUGCGUCCUCUGCCGUUGAUGGAGGUUCCGUUGGAGCGAAUCGGCAAGGACCUCAUCGGGCCGUUUCACCGGAGCGCACGCGGAUAUCGCUUUGUGUUAGUUGUCGUGCAUUACGCAACGCGGUAUCCGGAGGCAGUGCCGUUGCGCAAUAUCUCUGCAAAGAGCAGAGAUAUCUGUUUCAGGUCAUCUCCCGAGUUGGAAUCCCUAAGGAGAUUCUGACUGACCAGGGCACCUUGUUCAUGUCGCGCGCACUGAGAGAACUUUACGGGUUACUGGGCACUAAGUCCAUUCGUACGAGCGUGUAUCACCUGCAGACGGACGGGCUGGUGGAACGCAUGAAUAAGACUCUAAAGGCCAUUAUCCGUAAAUGUAUUAGCUACGAUGAACGUAAUUGGGAUUGGGACCACUGGCUUGACCCUCUGUUGUUUGCAGUGCGGGAGGUCCCCCAGGCCUCCACGGAAUUUUCUCCCUUUAAACUUUUGUUUGGCAGGACGCCGUGAGGGGUGCUGGACCUGAUUAAAGAAAGCUGGGAGGAAGGUCCAAGCCCCUGCAAAAAUGAGAUCCAGUACGUCCUGGACCUCCGAGCAAAACUCCACACACUGGGCUGUAUGUCACGAGACAACAACGACUGUACGACAGAGGGGCCAGGCUGCGACGAUUAAAACUGGGAGAAAAGGUACUUGUAUUACCUCCUUCUUCCAACUCUAAACUCCUAGCCAAGUGGCAAGGGCCCUUUGAGGUCACACGGCAGGUGGGGGACGUCGACUACGAGGUGGUGCGGUCCGACAGGGGUGGGGGUACACAGAGAUACCACCUGAACCUCCUGAAAGCCUGGAGGGGGGUGGAGUCAGUCUCUACGGUAUCGGAAAGGGAGGAGCUGGUGCCGGAGGUUCCAAAAGCAGGUAAUCAUACCUCGCUCCCUCGAGGGGCUCAUCUCUCAGAGAGCCAGAGGGCGGACGUCGCCAGGUUGCAAGAGGGGUUUGCUAAUGUGUUCUCUCCCUUGCCAGGCCGGACCGACCUCAUAGUGCACAGUAUCGAGACGCCCCGGGCUUGACGGUGAGGUCACGACCCUACAGGUUGCCCGAACACAAGAAAGAAGUAGUUCAGAGGGAAUUGGCGAGUAUGUUAGAGUUGGGGGUAAUAGAAGAGUCCAACAGUGCCUGGUGCAGCCCCAUCGUCCUUGUGGCUAAGAAGGAUGGAUCUGUACGGUUCGGGGUGGACUAUCGCAGGGUGAAUGACGUGUCAUGGUUCGAUGCCUGCCCAAUGCCCCGGGUCGACGAGCUCCUGGACCGGCUAGGCACUGCAUGUUUCUUCCCGACACUGGAUUUAACCAAGGGCCUACUGGCAGAUUUCUCGCCAGAGAGAAAACGGCAUUCUCCACCCCGUACGGUUUGUACCAAUUAACCACACUUCCCUUCGGGUUGUUUGGGGCCCCGGCCAAAUUUCAGUGCCUCAUGGAUCGAGUGCUGCGUCCGCACACUGCAUAUGCCGCUGCCUACCUGAAUUAUGUCAUUGUCCACAGCACCACCUGGGAGGAGCAUGCGCCGCAGGUGGGCGCAGUGCUGGAGGCGCUGGAACAGGCUGGGGGCCGUUUUGUCCCAGGAGGUGGGGGGGGUGGACCGCUCCGCGGUGUUAAUCAAGAAGCUGUCCGAGAGGGAGGCCAGGUACAGCACGGUGGAAAAGGAGUGCCUGGCCAUCCGGUGGGCGGUCGGCUCCCUGCGCUACUACCUCCUGUGACGCACUUUCACCCUCUGUUCGGACCACGCCCCGCUCCAAUGGCUCCACCGCAUGACCGAUGCCAACGCCCUGAUCACUCGGUGGUAUCUGGCUCUAUAGCCUUUUAAUUUCAAGGUGGUCCAUAGGCCGGGGACGCGGAUGGCUGUGGCUGAUUUCCUCUCCCGCUCCUGAAAGGGGGGCGGGGGGGAUAGGCUAGGCCGGACGGCUCCCCCGGCCUAAGUCGGGCGGUGGGGGUAUGUGGUGGCGGCAUGGUUUAACUCGGCUGCAGAGGGGACGGAGAAGGGAGUGGCUCAGGGAACAGUGCCAGGUGGAGCCAAUUGGCCUCAGGUCAGCUGAUUCCACACUGACUGUUUGUAUUGUGGUUUUAAAAUGCAGUAGAGGAGAGCGGGAGGAGGCGAGCGACGAUGAGAGAGCGAGACGCCGGGAGAACUCGCGGAUUCUGCAAAGAGAAAAGCAUCAAUAAAAGCUUAUUGAAACUAUACCCGCUGUGACGUGCCGACUGUACGCCCCCCAAGAACCCACACCGUGACACCCACAUAGCUACGCUGCAUUAUGUAAAUCUCAGUAAACACCUUUAUGCCACAUUCAUAUAUUGGUUGAGGGAUUUAAUGGGGAUAUUAAUCUGUCGGCAAAGUCUUAUCCAUACACCCAUAAUCCUGCUGCUUGAAGCCUGUUUAAUCACCUGUUGUUGAAUGGCCACUGAGGUUCCUCCUAGGAUGAUGAAAUCCCUUAGAUUCCAAUACAUUUUUGUACGUAAGAGGUAAUAAUAAUAAGGAAAUAAUAAAACAACAAUGAAAUUAUAACACUGUAUGAGCCCUUGCAUACUCCCACCACAGAUUGAAUACCUACUGUCUUUCAGAGUAUCAACUUGUUUAGCAAAAUCUUCAAUUUUUUUGAAGUUUUGUUUGUUUUUUUACUUAUUAUAUAACAAUAUUAUAUACAUAAUCUUUACUCAGCCUUCUUUUGCUCUACUAUAUCAAGAAAUUUCUCAGUUUUUGUAUUCUUUGUUUACCGAGGAGUUACAAAUUACUCCAGAUAACACAGGAUGAGUACUGAGUAAUAGUUAAAGUGUCCUUUAAUUUCCUAUGGAAGGGUUUUUAAUAUUUUGGGGAGUUUUUCGUGUGCCAAUGUGAGGGUUUAGGCAUUAGUAUCUUUUAAAUGUUCAAGUCCUCAAUUUAAUUCCUUGUUCUUUCGAAGAUACUUUUUAAUUAAAUAAUGAUACCUAUUUUGUCUUUUGUUACAUUUUAUUAAGAAGAAUCGCUACUUUUUUACCUAUUGUGUGCCUGCUCUCGCUUUGAACAAUUAAUAAUUUCCAAAUGACGUUCAGUCUCAAGUGGCCUUCAUUUUAAUUGGAUAACCUGAGCUGGUGGUGCCACAAGGAAUUGGCAAGAAGCAGAGUAAUUAUUCAAGGAACGGAAUAAAUCAGUCACAAAUACAUUGGCUAAA
ensembl:lncRNA